AGCAGCCGCGGUAAUUCCAGCUCCAAUAGCGUAUAUUAAAGUUGCUGCAGUUAAAAAGCUCGUAGUUGAAUUUCGGGACUAAUAUGUCGGUCGUGCCUCGGUACGUACUGGUUUAUUGGUUUCUCCUUUCUGAAGAACCAUGAUGUCAUUUAUUUGGUGUCGUGGGGAAUCAGGACUGUUACUUUGAAAAAAUUAGAGUGUUUAAAGCAGGCUCACGCUUGAAUACAUUAGCAUGGAAUAAUGAAAUAGGACGUUUGAUUCUAUUUUGUUGGUUUCUAGGAUCGACGUAAUGAUUAAUAGGGAUAGUUGGGGGCAUUAGUAUUCAAUUGUCAGAGGUGAAAUUCUUGGAUUUAUUGAAGACUAACUACUGCGAAAGCAUUUGCCAAGGAUGUUUUCAUUAAUCAAGAACGAAAGUUAGGGGAUCGAAGACGAUCAGAUACCGUCGUAGUCUUAACCAUAAACUAUGCCGACUAGGGAUCGGAUGAUGUUAAUUUUUAAUGACUCAUUCGGCGCCUUAAC
rnacentral:rRNA from 1 species